rnacentral:rRNA from 1 species
GGAAUAUUGGACAAUGGGCGCAAGCCUGAUGCAGCCAUGCCGCGUGUAUGAAGAAGGCUUUCGGGUUGUAAAGCGCUUUCACUGGUGAAGAUGAUGACGGUAGCCAGAGGAGAAGCCCCGGCUAACUCCGUGCCAGCAGCCGCGGUAAUACGGAGGGGGCAAGCGUUGUUCGGAAUUACUGGGCGUAAAGGGCGCGUAGGCGGAACAUCAAGUUAGGGGUGAAAGGCCCGGGCUCAACCUGGGAACGGCCUCUAAAACUGAUGAUCUUGAGUCCGGAAGAGGAUGGCGGAAUUCCCAGUGUAGAGGUGAAAUUCGUAGAUAUUGGGAAGAACACCGGUGGCGAAGGCGGCCAUCUGGUCCGGAACUGACGCUGAGGCGCGAAAGCGUGGGGAGCA